GGGAAAGUGGCUCAAUGGUAGAGUGCUUGCCUUGCAUGCAUAAGGCCCUGGGUUCGAUUCCUCAGCACCA
rnacentral:tRNA from 1 species